rnacentral:rRNA from 1 species
GAUGAACGCUGGCGGCGUGCCUAAUACAUGCAAGUCGAGCGAACGGGCGAGAAGCUUGCUUCUCUGAUGUUAGCGGCGGACGGGUGAGUAACACGUGGAUAACCUACCUAUAAGACUGGGAUAACUUCGGGAAACCGUAGCUAAUACCGGAGAAUCUUUUGAACCGCAUGGUUCAAAAGUGAAAGACGGUCUUGCUGUCACUUCUCGAUGGAUCCGCGCUGCAUUAGCUGGUUGUUAAGGUAACGGCUUACGAAGGCGACGAUGCGUGGCCGACGGAAGGGGGUGGUCGCCGACACUGGAACUGGGACACCCUCCUGGCGCCUGCGAGAGGCAGCAGUAGGGAACGGUCCGCAGCGGUCGAAAGCCUGACGGAGCAACGCCGCGUGAGAUAUGGAGGUCUUGGGAUCGUAAUACUCGGUUAUUGGGGAAGAACAGAUGUGGAAGUUGCUGUACACAGAGUGACGGUACCGAAUCAGAAAGCCACGGCUAACUACGUG